rnacentral:rRNA from 1 species
CCUACGGGAUGCAGCAGUGAGGAAUAUUGGUCAAUGGACGAGAGUCUGAACCAGCCAAGUAGCGUGAAGGAUGACUGCCCUAUGGGUUGUAAACUUCUUUUAUAUGGGAAUAAAAUGUUCCACGUGUGGGAUUUUGUAUGUACCAUAUGAAUAAGGAUCGGCUAACUCCGUGCCAGCAGCCGCGGUAAUACGGAGGAUCCGAGCGUUAUCCGGAUUUAUUGGGUUUAAAGGGAGCGUAGGUGGAUUGUUAAGUCAGUUGUGAAAGUUUGCGGCUCAACCGUAAAAUUGCAGUUGAAACUGGCAGUCUUGAGUACAGUAGAGGUGGGCGGAAUUCGUGGUGUAGCGGUGAAAUGCUUAGAUAGCACGAAGAACUCCGAUUGCGAAGGCAGUUCACUGGACUGCAACUGACACUGAGGCUCGAAAGUGUGGGUAUCAAACAGGAUUAGAUACCCUAGUAGUC